AUUGAACGCUGGCGGCAUGCCUUACACAUGCAAGUCGAACGGCAGCACGGGUGCUUGCACCUGGUGCCGAGUGGCGAACGGGUGAGUAAUACAUCGGAACGUACCUUAUCGUGGGGGAUAACGCAGCGAAAGCUGUGCUAAUACCGCAUACGCCCUGAGGGGGAAAGCGGGGGAUCGCAAGACCUCGCGCGAUUAGAGCGGCCGAUGCCUGAUUAGCUUGUUGGGGGGGUAAAAGCCCACCAAGGCGACGAUCAGUAGCUGGUCUGAGAGGACGAUCAGCCACACUGGGACUGAGACACGGCCCAGACUCCUACGGGAGGCAGCAGUGGGGAAUUUUGGACAAUGGGGGCAACCCUGAUCCAGCAAUGCCGCGUGAGUGAAGAAGGCCUUCGGGUUGUAAAGCUCUUUUGUCAGGGAAGAAACACCGGCUCUAACACAGUCCGGGAAUGACGGUACCUGAAGAAUAAGCACCGGCUAACUACGUGCCAGCAGCCGCCGUAA
rnacentral:rRNA from 1 species